UGUCAGAAGUGGGAUUCGAACCCACGCCCACAAGAAUGGACUGCGACCUGAACGCAGCGCCUUAGACCGCUCGGCCAUCCUGAC
rnacentral:tRNA from 13 species